UUCCACUUAUCGUAACUUUCGGGAUUUUAUUUUUCAUUAAUGUUGGGAUUCUUCUGAUCCGUUAGGCUCUCUUUGUUAUCCCCUUUCUUCCACUUCGUAACAUACAGCUUCUCCACCAUAAAAAACGAUAAAUAUCUUAUUCAAUUCAGAAACCACACUCAGACAAUUCUCUUUUGCACUUCCCAAACUUUCUAUAUAUUUUCCCCAAAAAAAAAAAGGGAUGACACGAAUAAUCUCAAUCUUUUAAGAACUACUGAAGAAGUACAUAGAAGCCAAAAAAGAAUUCAAAGGAAACAGAGAAGCCAACGAAAACUCCAAAGAUUUUCCGACGUAGCCAAACCUCCCCAGCGACCACUAUCUGUUCCGCCCACAGAUGGGCCAAUUAUCUUAGACUUCAGUUUCACCACCGAGCCUCUACCGCACUGCCACUUUGUUUUCUUUGCGACCAUCUGUUCCCAUUGACAUCAAUUUUUAUCAUGGUUUUUCUCAGUCCUUAACCAACAUAUUCUCUCAGUUGUUUAUCACUAUGUAAUCUGAUUGUCCGAAAUCUAAGAGGUUUUAGGAGCCGAUUCGCAUUUCUAUGGAACCAGAAUAGCAUUUGAAGCUAGGGUCUCUAAACCACCCCAAUUUGGUUAAAGAAGCUCUGAAGCUUUUGGCUAGAGCUUUGACUCUCUUCGAGAUAGUUUUCCGAAUUUGACGCUACCUCUCUUGGUUGGUUUUGAUUCUUUUUUGGCAGGAGGAAGGAGCGAGUCCCCUUGCACCAGAUUUACGUGCUAAUUUACGUGCUAAAAUGGAUGAGAUCAUCCUGCAAACUUAUAUCUUGGAGCUUCUUAGUUUACUGUUCGGUUAUGAUCCCGCAAACUUAUGUAUCUCACCCUUGCAGAGCUCAACCAAUGCUGUUGAUAUCUGAUCCUCAGAUAAUUGAGUUUCUAUGUAAGGCAAAAGUAACUGGUAUCCAUGCAUAUAAAGGUUGGUGUUACAUUGGUUGCUCUAGCGAGAGAUUUCUUCUUUCACAUUCAUCGUAUGUGAUAAAUCUGUCCUAAGGUAUCAUGUGGAGCUAUGUGUAUCAGACGAGCUGGAUGAGGCUGUCUUUGUCGCUUUUGAUAUGGAGAUGGAAAAGUUGGCAAACAUUCAAGCUGCUGAAGCUGCACAAAUUUUGGGUGCAUGUGUGAAUGCUCAUGUGGACAACGAACUACCCCACUUUGUAGCUUGAUAUUAUAGGCAAAACCUACACUUUUCCAGCUCAAGCUAUGGGAGUUUAAUUUCACUUCCAAGCACCAAACCUUCACCGUUUCCCGUAUCAUUUCUUAGGAACAGCGUGCACCACUCCAAGAAUUUGUCAUACAAAGAAACCAGUAGCACCAUAGCGCUCAACUGGUGAGCAAAACACUGUUGUAGAGGUAUCACGUUGUGCGACA